AGGACGAACGCUGGCGGCGUGCUUAACACAUGCAAGUCGAGCGGUAAGGCCCUUUCGGGGAUACACGAGCGGCGAACGGGUGAGUAACACGUGGGUGACCUGCCCUUAGCUCUGGGAUAAGCCUGGGAAACUGGGUCUAAUACCGGAUAUGACCUCGCGAUGCAUGUCGUGGGGUGGAAAGCCUUGUGCGGCUAGGGAUGGGCCCGCGGCCUAUCAGCUUGUUGGUGGGGUGAUGGCCUACCAAGGCGACGACGGGUAGCCGGCCUGAGAGGGCGACCGGCCACACUGGGACUGAGACACGGCCCAGACUCCUACGGGAGGCAGCAGUGGGGAAUCUUGCGCAAUGGGCGAAAGCCUGACGCAGCGACGCCGCGUGAGGGAUGACGGCCUUCGGGUUGUAAACCUCUUUCAGCCCUGACGAAGCGAAGUGACGGUAGGGCAGAAGAAGCACCGGCCAACUACGCGCCAGCAGCCGCGGUAA
rnacentral:rRNA from 1 species